rfam:Myotis lucifugus cont2.11877, whole genome shotgun sequence.
AGGCCAGAAGAGAGAAGCAGGGUUUGAUCCGCAGCCUCUGUGGCAGCUGUUGAUCAGUCCUUGACUCUCUCUUUCUCUCUG